UCGGGCCCAGGGGGUCACGGGCCCUGCCUCCCCGCCCCUCGCCGACCUCUCCCGCUCCCCGAAAACCCGGUAAUCCCGGGAAACGGCGGCUUCUGCCAGCGAGCUGGCUGGCUGAGCCCCGGGCAGCCCGGAGCGGGAGAACCUACAGAGCCUGGCGUCUGCCCGGGGUCGACUGAACACCGCCCGUCCUCCCAACACCCCGCUCCGCGUCCACCGACUGGACUCAAGAACCCCCUCCCCGACGGAGGAGGGGUAGGCGGCUCGGAAUCCGCAAACCGGCGCGCGUCCACUCGCCCGCCAACUGCAGCCGCCACCUGCUCGCCAGGGCCCGCGCCAGCCCCGCCGUCGUGGGUCGCUUACCUUGUGGCUCUUCCCCCCCGGGGGACACCUGACGUUGUUGGAGGCUCCCGCUGUCUGAUUCAUGUCGGGAGGAACUUGGGAACCGGUGCUCUAGAACCUCUCCAAGUUCCUCGGCGCCUGGAGGGUGGCGAGGGGCGCGUCUCCCGGAGGCGAGGUGGGGUCCUGGCAGUCCAGCCGCGUCCGGGCGGCGUCCCCCACGCGGCAGGUUUCCGAGGGACCCCCCGCCCAGGGAGGGUGAACGCUGCAAGCCCCGGAGCCGAAGAAGGAGAAGCAGCUGCUGGGACCCCAGAGGGAGCCGGGCCGGCGCCGGCGGCUCCGAGGGCGCUGUGCCCGGGGCUGCCUUCUCCGGGAAGCAGUCCAGGACUGUCCGGACCUGAGCGCCAGCAGAUCCUAAAGGAGCUCCUGGGAGAGGCGAGGAGAUUCAGCUUCAAUCCUGUUUUCUUACGUCUUAAAGUUCAAGAGCAAGCACUCAGGAGGUGGUGGCUGUGCCUUUGUGCCUGGGGUUUCCUAAGACUAACCACCCGGGCAGAACCUAUAAAGACGGGAGAUUUUUUCCUGAAAACAGUCCUGCGGUGCCACUUACACUUGCCUUGGAGAAUGUAGACCCCCCCGAACGCUGCUGGUGUGGACAUCAGUUCUUCUCUGACAGAAGACACCAG
rnacentral:lncRNA from 1 species